UCCAGAUGGUUGAACUAUCUUGUCAUGAGUAUCAGGAUAGACGUGGCCUAAGUCAGCGCCUGAGUUAGCUGGGCAAACUCCUCUUUGAUCUGGGUUAAGGUGUCUUGCAAGUUCUUGCUAAUCUAUUGUACCUCUAGGGUGAAUCUCUAAAGCUCUCCUCUCACAAAAGCCAAAAUCCUAGCCAUCCCUCUCUCUCAACAAUCU
rnacentral:lncRNA from 1 species